rnacentral:lncRNA from 1 species
GUUUCCUAGAGGUGAGCAGCCAAAAAACCUUCACCAUCCUUAGAGCACAGCCUGGAGUGAUAGAACAUUGAUUCCUACAUGGAUGAUAGUGCUGCUUGGAAAGGUUGUGAAACCUCUAAGAGUUAGAUCCUGAUGGAGACAAGGGGUCAGUGGGGAUAGCCCAUGGCUCUUUACAGUCUGGCCCUGCUUCCUGGUCUUCCUCUGCUUCCUGACUGUUGAAACAAUGUGUCCCACCAGACUCAUGCUCUUUCCUCUUCAUGAUGGAUUGAUUGUACCACUUUGUAACCUUAAACUGGAA